AGAAGAUAGGCUGCCUCACGUUUGCAUCUCUAUAUACCCCCACGACUGGUUCACCUGGUUUGUGAGGAGGAGCGUCGGAGGUGUCGAGGGGGGGCUGUGGGGAGGUGGGUCACAGGGAAAAGGCAGGAACAGGUAGGUGCUCACAGCCGCGCAGCCUCCAUCUCCUCCAACCCCGCUGCCGUCUGCCUCGUUCACUGCACAAACAAACAGCAGACCUUAUAGUGAGUGACAGAUAAAAGCCGCGGCACGAGCUGACGGAUUGGCCAGUGUUGUGUGAGGCAUCCUGAUGAUUAAACACGCCGAAGCGCUGAUUAACACACAGUGUGUUUUUCCGUGAGGGCUCAGUCGCACAAAACUGCUGUUCACAGCAAAGAUAAGAGGUGGAAUGCAAAAGGGAGGAAUCUGCGGGGCGGCUAGCGUUACCUCUCUGUCCGAGGUCAGUGUGUCCUGUGAAAACACCUGGUUAUUAAAAAAAAACGAAUCUACAUUCUAAAAGCUCAGGAGAUUUUGCUUUUGUGUCCAAAUGUUGAGCUGCUAUUAACUCUACAAUGCUGUAAAUAUAUGGACUUUGUGGCCAUUGUGAAAUUCCCAACUUUUAACAGUGCACUUUAAUCCCCAAACACCAAGUCCGGUUUCUGAAAUACAGCGUGUCCUUGAACACACCGUCAUGUACGCUGCUCAAUGCCAUUGUGAUGUGAGCAGCACUCCGUACUCGUCUCCCGCUACUUCCUCAGUGGCGGCAAACGACACCCGUGACCCUGAAGCCUGUCACGAAGCUAAGGAGUGCUCUUCCUGUUCACUGGAGCUGGUUAAGAGGAGGAGGGAUUGUUCUUGUCGGCUGGCUGUCUGACUGGAGGGGGUUGUUGGACGUGUUUGUAGUAAACUUUCAGCUGUUUAUAGUCACCAGACGAUGCUGGGAGGCCGGGGAUGUUCAUUCAAAGCUGCGCCAGGGGAAAAAAACGUGAUCGUGGCUCGUAAAUGAUGAAGAGAGUGGAAAAACCUCAUGUGUAUAUAUACAUAUAUCCUCUAUUAUAGCUCCAGCUCUUGGACAGUCAGUGGAGUCCAUUGUGCUGCUGCUUUAGCGUUACAUCAGACCUGCAGUGGAUUGAAUUCAAUUUGUUCCGAUUCCAUUCACGCAGAUGAAACGGAUCCGGGAGAAAGAGGGUGGCGCUGCAAACGGACAGAAGAGGGGUCGAGGAAAAGCUCCAGGGAGCACGAUCAGAUCUAAUCCGUGUUGCUGUGACCCAGACUGCAGCCUGUUCCCACAUGUAACGACAGGAGCUGGCCACAGGGGGAGCGCUCUGCGGAGCGGACGCUAAUCCGCGCUCACCAACAACACACGCUUCACAACGCGCGGCGUCAGCGGCCGCAGGCGUGUGCGCAGAUGUGCUCCUUUACCUUCACGGUGGCCACGCCCACCAGCCAUUAGCGCUCACACACAGCCGGAGUCUCUGUUGACACUUUCUCGUGCGGGAUUUGUUCCACGCCGCGUUCAUGCCUUCGAGAAAUCGGCCUCCCACGCCGCCGCCGGGGGUUUCGCUCCUGCAUCAAUAAAAAGCAAAACUGUAAAGCAUGAUUUAGCCUAAGUGGCUCCCUCAGAGUUGUUCAUGCGCUGGGGCCUGGGCGCCGCAGUGAAAUCAGUAUAGGCUGGUGUUUAUCCCCAAACAGUCCGCAGACAUAGUUGAUAAAACUCAGUGCUUGGGAGGACACGGUUGUAACAUGUGUCACAUCCCAUUAGGACUCGGCGGAUGUUAAGUCAAAGGUUUGAUCAGAAAUCAAGGACCAUCCGGUUCAAAAGUCUAUAUGAAGGUGCACUGUAAAUGUUUAACGCCACUGCAGGCUGCCCUUGUCGUACUUUGUACCAAGUGUGAUGAAGCGUUUAAAAUGCUUAAUAAUCAAACCAGCAGGAGCGCCGUCUUAUAACUGGUGGUAUUUUAUGGAAGGCGGAACAGGUUGAACCCAGAAAGCCAGUCUUGAUGUGCAGGCACCACCAUCUGUUCGACCGACAAGUUCACGCUCACUCAACUAUUUAUGAAUCUGUCUGUGUUUGUGUCUCCUGGUUAGCGAUGCUAUUAAUAUGGAAUCUCUCCAUUCACAAAAAACACUACAAACAGCAAACGCACGCUCGGCUUGAGGACAACAGUCGCUGGCAGUGACCUUGGACGCUUGUUGCGGAUGAACUGCGUUCAUUCACUUCAGCGAUGCAGGGGAGAGUUCACGCGGGGUGAGAAUAAGGAAAGGAGCCCCCCCCCACACACACACAAAAACACCCCCGUCACCGGCGGGUACACAACCGCCCAUUGUCUCCGGCAGCAGCCGUCACAAGAUGCCAACUGUUCAACGUGUGACCGUCAGAGGUAGAUGUGGAAAUGAAGCUGUUUUAAACGCGACCAAACAGACGUGCUAAUGUAAUUUAUCACAUCCACUAUAAGAGAGCAAUGGCAACGGGGAAGUGGAUAACCAGAGUCAUAAGUCAAAUUUCACCCCCCCACAAUGUAUCCAGACACAUAACUUGAAUAAACAGAUGGUUUGAACUA